rnacentral:tRNA from 2 species
GCACUGGUGGUUUAGUGGUAAAAUUGGACAUUGCCAAGUUGCUUAGCUCGACGUUGUCUAGCCCCGGGUUCGAUUCCCGGCCAGUGCA